rnacentral:rRNA from 1 species
GACGAACGCUGGCGGCGUGCUUAACACAUGCAAGUCGAACGGAAAGGCCCUGCUUUUGUGGGGUGCUCGAGUGGCGAACGGGUGAGUAACACGUGAGUAACCUGCCCUUGACUUUGGGAUAACUUCAGGAAACUGGGGCUAAUACCGGAUAGGAGCUCCUGCUGCAUGGUGGGGGUUGGAAAGUUUCGGCGGUUGGGGAUGGACUCGCGGCUUAUCAGCUUGUUGGUGGGGUAGUGGCUUACCAAGGCUUUGACGGGUAGCCGGCCUGAGAGGGUGACCGGCCACAUUGGGACUGAGAUACGGCCCAGACUCCUACGGGAGGCAGCAGUGGGGAAUAUUGCACAAUGGGCGGAAGCCUGAUGCAGCAACGCCGCGUGCGGGAUGGCGGCCUUCGGGUUGUAAACCGCUUUCGCCUGUGACGAAGCGUGAGUGACGGUAAUGGGUAAAGAAGCACCGGCUAACUACGUGCCAGCAGCCGCGGUGAUACGUAGGGUGCGAGCGUUGUCCGGAUUUAUUGGGCGUAAAGGGCUCGUAGGUGGUUGAUCGCGUCGGAAGUGUAAUCUUGGGGCUUAACCCUGAGCGUGCUUUCGAUACGGGUUGACUUGAGGAAGGUAGGGGAGAAUGGAAUUCCUGGUGGAGCGGUGGAAUGCGCAGAUAUCAGGAGGAACACCAGUGGCGAAGGCGGUUCUCUGGGCCUUUCCUGACGCUGAGGAGCGAAAGCGUGGGGAGCGAACAGGCUUAGAUACCCUGGUAGUCCACGCUGUAAACGGUGGGUACUAGGUGUGGGGUCCAUUCCACGGGUUCCGUGCCGUAGCUAACGCUUUAAGUACCCCGCCUGGGGAGUACGGCCGCAAGGCUAAAACUCAAAGGAAUUGACGGGGCCCCGCACAAGCGGCGGAGCAUGCGGAUUAAUUCGAUGCAACGCGUAGAACCUUACCUGGGUUUGACAUGGAUCGGGAGUGCUCAGAGAUGGGUGUGCCUCUUUUGGGGUCGGUUCACAGGUGGUGCAUGGCUGUCGUCAGCUCGUGUUGUGAGAUGUUGGGUUAAGUCCCGCAACGAGCGCAACCCUUGUUCACUGUUGCCAGCACGUUAUGGUGGGGACUCAGUGGAGACCGCCGGGGUCAACUCGGAGGAAGGUGGGGAUGACGUCAAGUCAUCAUGCCCCUUAUGUCCAGGGCUUCACGCAUGCUACAAUGGCUGGUACAGAGAGUGGCGAGCCUGUGAGGGUGAGCGAAUCUCGGAAAGCCGGUCUCAGUUCGGAUUGGGGUCUGCAACUCGACCUCAUGAAGUCGGAGUCGCUAGUAAUCGCAGAUCAGCAACGCUGCGGUGAAUACGUUCCCGGG